GACGAACGCUGGCGGCGUGCUUAACACAUGCAAGUCGAACGGAAAGGCCCUGCUUUUGUGGGGUGCUCGAGUGGCGAACGGGUGAGUAACACGUGAGUAACCUGCCCUUGACUUUGGGAUAACUUCAGGAAACUGGGGCUAAUACCGGAUAGGAGCUCCUGCUGCAUGGUGGGGGUUGGAAAGUUUCGGCGGUUGGGGAUGGACUCGCGGCUUAUCAGCUUGUUGGUGGGGUAGUGGCUUACCAAGGCUUUGACGGGUAGCCGGCCUGAGAGGGUGACCGGCCAAAUUGGGAAUGGGAUACGGCCCAGGCUCCUACGGGAGGCAGCAGUGGGGAAUAUUGCACAAUGGGCGGAAGCCUGAUGCAGCAACGCCGCGUGCGGGAUGACGGCCUUCGGGUUGUAAACCGCUUUCGCCUGUGACGAAGCGUGAGUGACGGUAAUGGGUAAAGAAGCACCGGCUAACUACGUG
rnacentral:rRNA from 1 species